GAUGAACGCUAGCGGCAGGCCUAAUACAUGCAAGUCGAACGGUGUCUUCGGACAUAGUGGCGCACGGGUGCGUAACACGUAUGCAACCUACCUUACAUUGGGGGAUAGCCUUUCGAAAGGGAGAUUAAUACCGCAUAAGACAGUAGCUGGGCAUCCAGCAGCUGUUAAAGAUUUAUCGAUGUAAGCUGGGCAUGCGUCCAAUUAGCUAGUUGGUGAGGUAACGGCUCACCAAGGCAAUGAUUGGUAGGGGAACUGAGAGGUCAAUCCCCCACACUGGCUCUGAGAUACGGGCCAGACUCCUACGGGAGGCAGCAGUAGGGAAUAUUGGGCAAUGGACGCAAGUCUGACCCAGCCAUGCCGCGCGCAGGAUGAAGGCGUUACGCGUUGUAAACUGCUUUUAUACAGGAAGAAACGACUCUUGCGAGAGGCAUUGACGGUACUGUAUGAAUAAGCACCGGCUAACUCCGUGCCAGCAGCCGCCGUAAUAC
rnacentral:rRNA from 1 species